GGGCUGUUGGUUUAGUGGUAUAAUACCCCCUUAGCAUGUCCCAGCUUGGGGGUGGUCCGGAGUUCGAUUCUCCGACAGUCCA
rnacentral:tRNA from 1 species